rnacentral:rRNA from 1 species
UACGGAGGGUGCAAGCGUUAUCCGGAUUCACUGGGUUUAAAGGGUGCGUAGGUGGGUCUGUAAGUCAGUGGUGAAAUCUCCGAGCUUAACUCGGAAACUGCCGUGGAUACUAUCAAUCUUGAAUACUGUGGAGGUAAGCGGAAUAUGUCAUGUAGCGGUGAAAUGCUUAGAUAUGACAUAGAACACCGAUAGCGGAGGCAGCUUGCUACACAGUCAUUGACACUGAGGCACGAAAGCGUGGGGAUCAAACAGG